GUUAUGUGGUUUCGUCUACCAACGAUAACUUUACAUGGUAUCGCUUGUAACGACCCGUCUCGGAUUUUACAAAACAUCAAGGGCAAUUUUGUAAUUUCACUUUGGUUGGGAGACUUAUUUCAAAUGAUUGCUUUUUGGUCUUAUUUGGUGUGUUAGUGGAGCCCACUCCUUUGUUUUUAUCACCCGGUCCUCCCUCUCUUUUUCUAUUUUCCCUCAUUCUCCUUCCCAUGGACCCAUCUCUCUCUUCUCUCAUUUCUCUCAUCUCUCUCUAACCUCCCCUCUACGGAAAAGUACACAAACACAACAACGAUAACACUCCCACCACCCCCAAACCAAGAGCACCACGAGCUUUGUCACGCUCUCACGAGCCCAGAACAACCAACCUUACCUCGAACUUCCUUCUGGAUCAUCGAGAUCGAAACCCAAGUCGGGCUGCAACCUUUCAGGCCAUUUUCUGGCCAAAGCGCAUCGAGUUAGCCUUUCAGAAAGGACUUAGAAUCGAGGUGUACAAUCUUGGCGUCAAGACACUCCUGCAUCAAUAUCUUCGAGUCCUCUCGGUGUGUCGGCCAACACGUGCCUAUCCUGGUGUUUGGAGGAUCUCGGGAUCAAGCCUGUUAUCGCUUCUCCGUGAUGACUUUAUGUGGCCACGUUAUUCGGUGAUGACUUGUUGUAGUCACUAAUACAAAUGUGUUGCAUCUAUCGUUUUGUGGUAUAGGUUGCGCCUUACUGUUCGGUGUUGACUUAUGGUCACUGCUACAAAUCUGUUGCAUCUAUCGUUUUGUGUUAGAUUAGUAUGGCGGCGUGUGUAGUUUUGGUACAUGUGGUAGCUGUUUAAGAGUUUACUAUAGUUCCCUUGUUGGAGCAAAUUCACUCCAGAUCAUUUUCUAGGUCACUACAACAUUGUCCCCAAUCGACCGUCUGUAUUUGUUUGUUUGGAAUGUUAAAUGAAAGGAUAAUGAUAGGGAGACCAAACAUUAUUAAACUAAAUUUGCAACCAAAUGAUACGUCACCAAUAGGAAGGUAAUCAACACUUAAGUAAUAAUUCAAUCAUCAGUAGGAAUUACAUAAGUGUUGAUUAAGUAAAUUUGUAAAAAGGUGCAAGUAGACCAAAAAAAGAAAGAUAAAGAAAAUGAAAUGCUGAGAUUAAAAAUAAAAGAUCUAAAUAACUGUGGAAAUCAAAGCUAAUGGAUGGAACACCCCGUAACAUUGAAUGAUACAUAGCAUUGGAGCCUUACCCGAUUUUAUACUUUACUUUGGUCCUUUUCUUUUGUGAGAAGAUUUUCUUACUUGUGUUAGUAGUUGUUCAAAUUUCUCUUCUCAUGCCAGAAUGAGAUUCUUUCAAGUUUCUAUAAAUUUCUCUCCACUUCUCUCAUUUGAUUUAAUUUUUCUUUUCAUCUUCCAAAUCUUGUAACCAUUUUGGAGACUUAUAUUUUCAAAAUUGUUUAUAUUUUGGAUUGUAGUUUCUUCCUUGUCAAAUCGGGACUUUGAUUUGUUUUCGUUCUUGGGUCUUGUUGAUUGCCUUGUUUUCAAAAUAUAAACACACAUACUAUGAUUUCUUCUCUUGUUCUUAGCAUUUAUAUAGAGUAAUGUCGUUUUUUUUUUUUUGUCAAUAGUUAGGUGGGGUUCUGAGGAGAAAAGGAAGCCUCAAAUUUGGUUAAGGAGGGCCACAAGGGUGCUUGAUUUUCACUAUGGCACUUGCCCUCCUCAAGUGGUGUUAGACAGCUAACUUUGAUUCAUUUUUGUUCUUUCAUAAUGCUCUAUAACAUAAAAUCUCGUUGAAUAUUAAUUUGAAUUGAUAUGAAGCGAUAUGAACCAUUACAUGAAAGAGCAUCACAUGAAAGACGUACGUACAUACAUGAAAAGUUGAUGAGGAAUAUUUUGUAAUUAUUUUCACACGCAUAUGCAUUUGUAUAUAUGAAGGGAAAAGAAAAAGAAAAUUAAGAAUUGAAUGAUAACAUCUGUCAUCUUAACAUAAAAAAAUAAAAAAAAAUUCUCGUUUUCAGAGGACAUGUUAGUUGGCGAAGUGUAUCCAACUCCGAUCGAUCAUGGUGCUACACCAGAUCCGGCAUUGGAAGAAGUUCUCACUGUCACUGGAGAACAUGAUCAGAGCAAUGCCGAGGAUAUCUCUGAAACUUUCGUCAAAUAUGUGAAGUCUAAUGAUUGGGAUAAUGUGAUCAAGUUUCUUCGCCAACAUCGCAAGCUGGCAGGGAAUGCAAAAAUUCCAUUUGUGGUGCAGCAUGAUCAUUUUAAGAAUGGUACAGUUCUUCACUAUGCAAUCCUGAAUAUCAUGAGCUGCAUCGUGCGCAUUAUACAACAGUUGGUGGAUUUAAUGGCAAGGGAAGACUUGGAAAUACAAGACUGUUCCGGUGCCACAGCUUUUUAUCAUUUAGUAAAUUGUUAUCCAGAAAGGGUUGAAGUAGCUGAAUGCAUGCUUAAAAAAAACCCCAAAUUAAUAAGGUGUCACGAUACCUACAACGUUGUAGUGGCCCAAUGGAAGCCUAAAGGGGAAAAAAUGGCUCGUUAUCUUUAUUCCCUUACUCCACCCCAAACAUUAAGAGUUGUCGAAGCCGCUCAACUUAUUUCUCUCGGUUUUUAUUACAACAGAUUUGGUACAAUUUUUCGUUGUGUGAUUUUUUUUUUUUGUUACAAAUUUUGUAUGUAUACUUACAAUGUUCUUUUUCAUACUUCUAUUAUAUAUAGAUAUUGCGUGGGAUUUAAUUCAACUUUACCCAGAAUUGGCUAUGGCUACAGACAUCGACAGGUAUAUCCCCUUAGUAGCAUUGGCCAAUAACCGUUUUGCAUUCAAAAGUGGAAGCCGACUCAGUUUAUGGGAAAAAUUGAUCUAUUAUGGUUAGUAAAUUAUUGCUUUUUAUUU